UACCUACGGGAGGCAGCAGUGAGGAAUAUUGGUCAAUGGUCGGGAGACUGAACCAGCCAAGCCGCGUGAGGGAUGAAGGUACAGAGUAUCGUAAACCUCUUUUGUCAGGGAACAAAGGCGGGGACGUGUCCCCGGAUGAGGGUACCUGAAGAAAAAGCAUCGGCUAACACCGUGCCAGCAGCCGCGGUAAUACGGAGGAUGAGAGGGUAAUCCGGAUUUAUUGGGUUUAAAGGGGGCGCAGGGGGUCU
rnacentral:rRNA from 1 species